rnacentral:rRNA from 1 species
GAUGAACGCUGGCGGCGUGCCUAAUACAUGCAAGUCGAGCGAACAGACGAGGAGCUUGCUCCUCUGACGUUAGCGGCGGACGGGUGAGUAACACGUGGAUAACCUACCUAUAAGACUGGGAUAACUUCGGGAAACCGGAGCUAAUACCGGAUAACAUGUUGAACCGCAUGGUUUAACAGUGAAAGACGGUCUUGCUGUCACUUAUAGAUGGAUCCGCGCCGCAUUAGCUAGUUGGUAAGGUAACGGCUUACCAAGGCAACGAUGCGUAGCCGACCUGAGAGGGUGAUCGGCCACCCUGGAACUGAGACACGGUCCAGACGCCUACGGGAGGCAGCAGUAGGGAAUCUUCCGCAAUGGGCGAAAGCCUGACGGAGCAACGCCGCGUGAGUGAAGAAGGUCUUCGGAUCGUAAAACUCUGUUAUUAGGGAAGAACAAAUGUGUAAGUAACUAUGCACGUCUUGACGGUACCUAAUCAGAAAGCAACGGCUAACUACGUG